UACAGAGGGGGCAAGCGUUGUUCGGAAUUACUGGGCGUAAAGGGCGCGUAGGCGGCCUUCUAAGUCGAACGUGAAAUCCCCGGGCUCAACCCGGGAACUGCGUCCGAUACUGGAAGGCUUGAAUCCGGGAGAGGGAUGCGGAAUUCCAGGUGUAGCGGUGAAAUGCGUAGAUAUCUGGAGGAACACCGGUGGCGAAGGCGGCAUCCUGGACCGGCAUUGACGCUGAGGCGCGAAAGCCAGGGGAGCAACAGG
rnacentral:rRNA from 1 species